UCGAAACAUCGAGCCAGUCUGGUUGGAAAUGUUCGCGGCGCAGCAUCGUCUUGCUGUUUUUAUUUUUUGAGUGUUUUGAAAGCAGAGAUAUUCAAGCGUUUUGAGUCAAUUUGCGGUCUGGCAGCGGUUCCACGCUGAAUAGUGACCGCGGGUGGCUGGUUUUCUUUUCUGUUUCGUCGGUUUCACGCAGUUAUUUUUCGCAAAGAAGUUUUUCUCUCAGUUCGAAGCAGACAUGUUUUCAUGGCGAUUUUCCGGCCCUUUGUAAAUGGAGGUUGGUUACAUGAGAGUGAGUGAGCGAGUUAGGCUGAAUCCACACAGUGAACUAGAUUGGGCGGUCCGCGUUGAAAAGCCGGAGAAGAGUUUCGGGAAAAUGUGAAAUAAUUAGUUUUGAUUAUUGCUCGGUUUAGAAAAAUUAGUUUCGCUAGACAGCAGAGCACGGAGUGUGAAGAAGAAAAAAAAUUGCACAAAAGAUUACACCUUUGUCGGUGGUUGUGUUUGUGCGUAACAGUGCAUAUAUAAAGUGUUUGUAUGUAUGUGUGUGAGUGCGUAGUGCUGAUGGCAGGAUAGGAUACACACGCAAAGGAAUACGAAAAAGGAUAUCCAACGCAUACGAUUUGUACACAGAGAGCGGCACUAGAAAAAACAGGCAGCAGCAGGCUAGGAAAAAAGGUUAAAAGUCUGCUUUGGCUGGCCAGCAGACCACGAUCAAAGGUGGCCGCAGUAGAAGCAGACGAAUGAAAAAUAACUGCAGCUCCUCUCGUACCGCUGUGUGAAAGGUUGCCGCUUCCGUGUAUUUGUGCGAGGAACAUCCAUCCCGAUUUAAGAGGAAAUCUCCGCUACUACCGGAAAUAGAACCAUUUCGGGUGAAUCGAGUGCGUGAGUGAGUCUUUCGAGCGGCGUGUAAUGUCUUAAGCUCGACCAGAGUAGUGUCUUGGCGCGUAUAAGUGCGGUUUGCUUGGGAGAGUUAUCCUACCAUUAGGGCCGGUCCGGUGAAGAAACCCGCGAGACCGACAGUGUCGAAUGGAAAUUGGAGAAAGUGUGAAUCCAAACAGUAGUUUUUCGGUGGCCGAUUCAGUCGGGUUUUUUUUUUUUGUUUGUGAGCUUAGGGGGCUGAAUGGCAGUGAAAAUGAGUCUCGCUAGUAACAGUGAUUGGCCCGAGCUCGAGCGGCAUACCGAAACCGUUGAUAAAAAAUGCCGCUAAUUUUCAUCUCGUUCAAUUCAAGUCGCCUUUCGUUCAAGUGCAAGUGAGAAUCUUUAAUCGAUUUUUCACGGGAUAUUUGCUUGCUCAACGACGACGGCGACGCCUUGGACAGUGUCGAGCGUUGCAAACGGGGUCCGAUAGGCAUCUCUACGGAUUGGAAAUUAAUUUUAUUUGCCUAUUUGCGAUCGGAUUGCGACCGACACGGGCACAAGGCAGCCUCUCCAAUAAACAUAACCACAAACACAUACACGAACGGAACGGGACGGAUAAAAGUUCGCCAUGGAUAUAGGAAUGGAGCGCCACGAGGGAAGUGCCACGAUUGGCACUCUCUUCCAGCACAUCGUCAACGAUAUGAAGAACUCCAGUCCACUGUGGGAUGACUUCAUUGCAAAAGCCACAAAGCUACAUGCUUGUUUACGAGCUGCGAUACAGGCGCUGGCGGCCUAUUUGGAAGCGUUUCAAAAAAUUGCCGACGCAGCUACCAACUCCAAGGGUGCCACCAAGGAGAUCGGCACCGCGUUGACGCGGGUCUGCCUGCGCCACAAGGCGGUGGAAACGCGGAUGAAGACGUUCACGUCCGCCAUCAUGGAAUGCCUUAUCGUGCCCCUGCAGGAAAAACUGGAAGACUGGAAGAAACAGGUAGCCAUCAUAGAUAAGGACCACGCCAAAGAAUACAAGCGCUGCCGGACGGAGCUGAAGAAGCGCUCCAGCGACACGCUGCGGCUGCAGAAAAAGGCCAAAAAGGGGGGCCACCAUGCGGGGGGUGGAGCCGGAGGCCAGGACAGCUUGCACAUCCUGGUGGAGUCGUCCAUGCAGGACGUGACGCUGCGGCGGUGCGAGCUCGAAGAGGUCGAGCGGAAAUCGCUGCGCGCCAUCAUGGUCGAGGAGCGAUCGCGGUACUGCACCUUUGUCAACAUGCUGCAGCCGGUGGUGCACGACGAGUGCGAGGUCAUGUCGGAGCUAAGUCAUCUACAGGAAGCAAUGCAGAUCAUCGCCGUCGUCACGAAAGAUCCCGCCAUCCUACCGCAGGCCUCGGAAGAGCUCAUCCUGGAGUCGAAGACCAACAUGAAUCUCUACCCGGACUCGCCCGGGGGUUCGAACUCGCAGGGCGGUUGUUCCAACUCGCUCGGAUCUCGCAAAAGUUCCGUAUGCUCAAUAAGUUCCAUUAACAGCAGCAGCAGCGGAUCGCCGGGUCACCAGUUCCAGAGGUCGCUGUCGCAGUACUCUCCAGCGAUACGUUUGAAACCAGGUGAAUCUAGUGAUAGCGGAUUUUGUUCUUCGCCAGCUUUAACUUCGCAGGCUUCCACACUCGCUAGUCAAUCGCACGCCGUGUCGACGUGGCCACCACACACCCAGGACGGUACGGCCACCGCAGAUCGGCCGCACACAAUCUCGUCCGCGUACGAAAAGGGCCACCAAAGACCGGCACUCACGGUGUACACGUUCCAGAAUCCGGAAGCAAUCUCCGAGAACAACCCAAAGUCACCCGCCAACAUAUCGUGCCGACCACCGCUGCCAGUGCGAUGUUCGUCGCUGGAGAGGCCGCUUUCGACAGCUUCGAUGAAAAACGCCAACUCUAACGUUCCAAGGCAAUGUCCGUCGCCGAUUCCAGCUCAUAUUACCAAAGAACACCCACAACUACAACCCACCUACGUCAAUAUGACGGAACUAGCAUCGAUGGCUGCCUCGAAAAUAACUAACAAUAACACCUAUAACAACAAUAAUGCAACUAACCAGCCCCAAUCAGGGCCGUCGUCCACGUCAUCAUCGUCCCAGCAGACCUCCUCUUCAAACAGCCAAGCAAUGCAACCGCUGCAGAUGGGCUAUCAGCAGCUUCAGCAGCAGCCAAAUUCUCCCGUUCUGUCGUCCGCAUCGUCGCUCAUCUCGCCCGAUUCGAGCGCAACGAACGCAAUCAGCUCGCCGGAUGUGUCCGCCUGCAGCACACAGACUCCCCAGAACACGCCCCAGACCGGGUCGCCCCAGACGCCCAUCUACAGCAGCAGUAGCUCGAUGGUGCUGGUCGGAACCGGUCCCAGCGAUGGCGUUGCUACUGGUGAAAGUAAUGGUGGUGGUGGUAGCACACUAGCGGAAGGCAGCGCCGGAAUCGAGAAUAAAGAUAUCCUUAAAUGUACCGGUUCAGUUCUAGAGAAAACGUCCAUGUUCGAGCAACAAAUCAACAACAAUCAACACACCGGCGCCGUGCUGCUAAACACGCCCACGCGGACUGAAAACAGCGGCCGGAAGGGCGAAGAUAUUUACAAGUCGACGGGUUUGCUGUCCGAGCGAGAUGCAGAUCGGAUUGACAAAGAGACAAUCGAGGAACUAAAUAAUCUAAUUGGUGAACUAGACCUCUUCCAAAAAGAGCACGAGCUGCGCCUGGAGGAGCAUCUGCAGCAGCCCUCGCAUGAAAACGGCAUCCAAAUGGCCAGCUCAAAUGGGAACAUGUCCUCAAACACGAGCGAUUCCAACGGCAGCGACAAGGUCUCCAUCUCCAGCUCGAUGAACGUCGAAGGGUUGAAUCUGUCGCUGAACAGUACCAGUACCAAUCUGGCAGCGUUCAACUACAGCGAUAGUCAGCUGCAGGGCUGCGAUGGGGUCGAUUAUCCCAACACCGGGUUCGAAAAUCCCUCGUUUAUGCACCUGAACGAUUCGGAAAUUGUGGUCAUGCGACAGAACGACUUUGGCAAAGUUGACCCGGAAAAUUACUACAGCCAGAACAUGAGCGAAGUUGUGGUGCUGCGCUGCAAGGAUGUCACCAAGAGUGAACAAGACGGCACGCUGUCCGGCAACGGUGCCAGCAAUGCCACCGACACCAACCAACAGCAGCGACUCAGUUCGUUCAAGCUCAACUCGCGGUCGGCUUCGCCGGCACUGUCCUCGUUCGUGGUGUCCCGAUCUCCCACUCCGUCGCUUUCGAUCCCGCCCUCCAAUGCGACAACCCCUACGAUGCCACCGUCCCCACAGCACAGUAUUGCCUUUCCACCGAGCAGCAACAACAAUAACUUUGUGAUAAGCCAGAACCACCACCUCCAUCAUCAACAGCAGCAGCAGCAGCAACAACAACAACAUCAGCAGUCCCAUCCAAAGCACUUCCCCAAUGGUAAUGAGAAAAGCUCGUUGAUCUCAAUGCCUUCUGAUGAGCGCAUUAAUAGAAUUAAGCCAGCAAUCACGCCGCGACCUGCAUCGUUAUCUGGAGCGACACGAGUCACUCGACGGUCGUCCAUCAAUACUGUGAAACCUCCUCCGCCGGUGCGGAGAAGCUCCAGCGUAACGCCAAAUCCUAACCUCGGAACAAACAACUCGCCAUCUCUGUCACAGCAAAGUCUCGUUUACACGUCGUCGGAAAGUCUUCCACCACCACCUGCUUACCUUCUAGACAGCACCGCUGGAAGCACUCCAAUUCCAGGAAACGUAGCGGGAACGGUGAAGGCGCUCAACGAAAUACGACAUAAACCGGCCAGCCCGAGCGUGCUGCGACGGGCCCACCAAAAUCUUCCAACUCCACAGCAAUUGCCCACGCAGCAAGAACAGCAACAGUACGCCACAACUAACGCUUACAGCGGCACGCUCUUACACGAUCCUGCUAGUAGCGCUUCGUCACCUUACUAUACGCCACAGUCACAGUCGCCAAACGCUAUCUAUUCUAGCGGUGAAAGUCCUAACAUGUCAUCGAACCGAACCUCGAAGUCACCUCACCACCAGGGAAUCUACGCCCAGCCGAAGCAACUCACGAGUAUGUCCAGCUUCCGGACGGCGAGUCCAGGUCCCCAAAAGCAAAACAGUGGUUUCCUAGCCCAACUGAACGCCCGAAUAGCCCCGAACAAACAGCCACAACAACAAUCAUCACCCCAGCACUACCAAGAGCAACCAGCUUACACCUAUACGACCGCCCCUUCGAACGAACCGAUGUACCACCGGGGUAACGUCCCGGACCAAAGGUCUUCCUACAACAACAGCACCAGCAGCAAUCCUCACCAUCAACAGCAACAAAUGCUACUGCAGCAGCAGCAACAACAGUCAACCGCGGCCUCCCACGGAAUGUACUCGUCGGGACCGGCUCAGCAUCACCACCAACAGCAGCCAAACGGCCAACGAGACGGUAAAAACCAAGUUUAUUCCUCUACUCAUUCUCAGAACCAACAGCAAAUCCAGCAGCAGCAACAGUACUACUACCAACCCCAGUCGAACUACGCCACCCAGAAUAUCUACGUGUCGACGAAUCCGUUUGCGGCGGCGGCAGCGGCGACCGGAAGUCCCGUCCAUUCUACCUACUCGCCGUCGUCCUUUGGAAAAAUGCCCCGCGACGGGCAGACGUCGUCGGCGGCGGCUUCUUCGUCGGGCUUACCGACUCCGGUGGUGACCAGUGUUAGUAGUAUUGGGCAUGAUCAGCCUGGUCACGGUCACCAUCAUCACAACCGUUCAAACCACCAAAUGCGCACCGGAAGCAAUAGUGCUGCAAACAGCACCGCAAACAACGUCCUCGCCAAAACCAGCGUUGGCUUCCUGGAGAAUCUGAACGCGAGACUGGCCGAGCAACGACUCUCGGGGAAGGCCUUCGCUGUGCGAAGCCUGAUCAACAGUAAAGCGCUGGAUGAUGGUCUUUACAAUAAAUACUAUCAAAACGUUUGAUCAACCGAGAAAGAGUAGUGACGUUAAAAUAUCUGCUUUCUUGCUUGUCUGUUGAAUCGUAGACUCGUUUGUUCCAAGCCCGACCCACGGAUAUGUCACGAAUCGCUGAUGGAUCAGAUCAAGCGUGGGGCGACGUUGAAACGAAACCGAACGAUUAACGACCGCAGCGCACCGAAAAUUCACUAAACGCGAGCGUCCAAUUGUUGAAUUAAUAUCUGUGUAAUCAUCAUCACCACCAUCGUCAUUCUUUUUCUAUUAAGUUGUAAACUAACCAGUGUGUUUCUUCGGAUAUCAUCGGUGUGGCAUUAGGAUGUGCCACAACAUAACGGAAGAAAGAAACAGUAAUAUUCUUUGAACAGACAUACAUACAGGCAUAUAUUCGUUGAAACUUUCUACGCUAGUCUCGGCAAAAAAAGGCAUCACAUUUGUAGAGGAGGAGAUCGGGGCAGUGGAAGCGAGUCCAUUUCAACACUCUCCGAACCUCGUGGGACUGAACAAGUUGAUUAUACAUAUUGGGAAAACAAUGUUAUCUAUUAACUAAUGUACGUUUAAGCGCGUGUAUCACUUUAAGGCAUUUUACUAUGUGUGCGAGCUCUUUGCAUUCAAGCAUUCAGAAUCUGGGUGAUCAGUGAUCGCGGUCGAGAGUACGUUGUAAAUUGUUAAAGUAUGUAUAUUGUUCGGGAGCAUUUCUGCGAUCAAGCACAUACUCUCGGUAAAAAAACUUCCGUUUUAGCAUUCACCGUGCGUUCUCUCGAGCGGAAAGGCACAAUUUUACACGAAACCAUAUUAUACUCUUGAAAUUCAUACCAAAGCAAACAAAUCUUCGUUUACAUCUCAAACACUUUUUAGAACGAAAUCAAGUUUUAACCCUUACAGAACUGAUUCUGCUUUCAGAAAACGGAUAGACACGAACAUAAUCGAGAAAAAAUAUCAUUUUUGUCUGGAAACAACUAAGCAAAGCACUGAAGCAAACGAAACCUCCUUGAGGAGAGCUGCCUGAUCUAUCAUUUUUCGAAAGAAGAAAAAGAAGAACAAGUGUAAACAAACAACUAUAUCAAUUAUCAAACAUGGUACUGAAAGUUAUACACAAAAUAUAAACAUAAUGUAUAUUCUACAUACAACAAAACAACAAAUACAAAACAUACCUUACUGAUCGUUAGUUAUUAUAAUCAGUAGGGAAAAUGCGCGAAAAAGCAACUCUAAAUGUCGUCCAUUUACAUUUAGUAAACAUACCUUUACCCGUACACAGCACAUACACACAUGCGUUUGCAGUUAAACAGUAGUAGAAGCUCAAUUGACGAAAACAAAAAUAUAUCUACAAACAAGAAAACAAAAAAAAACUAUACCUUUUAAGUGUCGCAAAUGAAAAGGGAAAUGAUAAAAGGCUGAUUUUAACGAGAAACAACAUCCAACCUAAAAGCAAGCAUCCUAGUUCAUUAAUGCGAUUGCUGAAAAUGAGCUAAACCAAAACAUACACACAAUAGAAGAAACGCUUCGACAAGGCUUGAAUUGACGUGUUGUUGGUCUUCCACCCAAAUAUGUAGAAGCUUACCCAGCACCCACUAGUUUGAAGCUUCCAAGAAACAAUUAUCAUUUCCUUCGUACGGUACCAGUUGACGCAUCGGAAGAGGCUAAAUUAUUUACGAGAUCAGAAUGUUAUUUUUUGUAACUAUUUAUUGCUAUUUAUUUCACUCAACACACGAUUGUUUUCGACCUUUCCCCCCCAAAUAACGAUAGAAUCUCGAAUAGCUCGAAAAAAAAACUGCUAACCGUAGAGUUUAAAACCAAUAGCUAGAAAGAGAAUGAGAGAGAGAGGAAGAGAGUUUUCUUUGACUGCGAUUAAAUGUGUAAUUUGCAAAAAAAAACGGUCCUGUACAUAUUACUUUGUAAUAGUUUGAAAAACCUGAUUCGAUUAGGUUGUAAAAUAUUUUAUUGGAGCAAUUGUAAGACGACGCAGCAAGCAUCUCUCUCCCGCUCUCUGUCUCGUGUGCAGCGCUGCAAGUUAAUGUAGCGAGACGAAAGGCGAGCAACAACAAAAAAAGAAACAAUAAUUACUGCUAGGUGAGUCCGAACCGAAAAAAACAACAAACCGAUAACACUCCAUACUAAAUAAAUAUUGAAAACGAAAAAAAUGAAAGAAAACACGCAAACAUUGUAAGCACUAAACAAACAAGCGAAUAUAUAUAUUUUUAUACUAAGCAGACCUUCGUUUUUGGGUAAUAACAAAUUUAACGACUUUCGGUAAACGCUAUGUAAUGUUUAAUUUAAAGCUAUAUAUAUAUAUACAUACUACGAUAAUAUCAUGAACAUGUAUUGCUGUAACCUACAAAAAUAUCAAAUUAAAUGGAAAAAAAUAAAACUGUUUGGUUUUUA